rnacentral:rRNA from 1 species
CAAAAUGUCACGGAUGUGUCUUUUUUUUGUAGUGUAGCGAACAAGUACCGUGAGGGAAAGAUGAAAAGGACUUUGAAAAGAGAGUCAAAGAGUGCUUGAAAUUUCCGGGAGGGAAGCGGAUGGGGGCCGGCGAUGCGCCCCGGCCGUAUGCGCGCGGAACGGCUCUUGCUGGUCCGCCGCUCGACUCGGGGUGUGGACUGUUGUCGGCCGCGCCGACGGCCAAAGCCCGGGGGCCCUAGGUGCCCCCGAUGGCCGUCGUCGGCACGGCCGGUACCCGCGCGCCGAAAGGCGUGUCCCUCGGGGCACUGCGCUGCAAUGGCCUGCGGGCUCCCCAUCCGACCCGUCUUGAAACACGGACCAAGGAGUCUGACAUGCGUGCGAGUCGAUGGGUUCUAGAACCUGGGAUGCGCAAGGAAGCUGACGAGCGGGAGGCCCUCACGAGCCACACCGCUGGCCGACCCUGAUCUUUCGUGAAGGGUUUGAGUUGGAGCACGCCUGUCGGGACCCGAAAGAUGGUGAACUAUGCCUCAGCGGGGCGAAGCCAGAGGAAAAUCUGGUGGAGGCUCGAAGCGAUACUCACGUGCAAAUCGUUCGUUACUUGGGUAUAGGGGCGAAAGACUAAUCGAACCAUCUAGUAGCUGGUUCCCUCCGAAGUUUCCCUCAGGAUAGCUGGAGCCCAUUAUGAGUUCGAUCAGGUAAAUCCAAUGAUUAGAGGCAUUGGGGACGCAACGUCCUCGACCUAUUCUCAAACUUUAAAUAGAUAGGAUGGCGCGGCUGCUUCGGUGAGCCGUGCCAUGGAAUCGGGUGCUCCAAGUGGGCCAUUUUUGGUAAGCGGAACUGGCGAUGCGGGAUGAACCGGAAGCCGGGAUACGGUGCCCAACUGCGCGCUAACCUAGAACCCACAAAGGGUGUUGGUCGAUUAAGACAGCAGGACGGUGGUCAUGGAAGUCGAAAUCCGCUAAGGAGUGUGUAACAACUCACCUGCUGAAUCAACUAGCGCAAAAAAUGGAUGGCGCUGAAGAGCGCGACCCACACCCGGCCAUCUGGGCGAGCGCCAUGCCCCGAUGAGUAGGAGGGCGCGGCGGCCGCUGCAAAACCCGGGGCGUGAGCCCGGGCGGAGCGGCCAUCGGUGAAGAUCUUGGUAGUAGUAGAAAAUAUUCAAAUGAGAACUUUGAAGGCCGAAGAGGAGAAAGGUUCCAUGUGAACGGCACUUGCACAUGGGUAAGCCGAUCCUAAUGGACGGGGUAACCCUGGCAGAUAGCGCGAUCACGCGCAUCCCCUGAAAGGGAAUCGGGUUAAGACUUCCCGAGCCGGGAUGUGGUGGUUGACGGCGACGUUAGGAAGUCCGGAGAUGCCGGCGGGGGCCUUGGGAAGAGUUAUCUUUUCUGCUUAACGCCCUGCCAACCCUGGAAACGGUUCAGCCGAAGGUAGGGUCCCAUGGCCGGAAGAGCACCGCACAUCGCGCGGUGUCCGGGGCACCCCCGGCGGCCCAUGAAAAUCCGGAGGACCGAGUACCGUUCACGCCUGGUCGUACUCAUAACCGCAUCAGGUCUCCAAGGUGAAUAGCCUCUGGCUAAUGGAACAAUAUUGUAGGCAAGGGAAUUCGGCAAAACGGAUCCGUAACUUAGGGAAAAGGAUUUGCUCUGAGGACUGGGCUCGGGGGUCCCGGCCCCGAACCCGUCGGCUGUCGGCGGAUUGCUUGAGCUGCUCACGUGGCAAGAGCGGGUCGCCGCAUGCCGGCCGGGGUCGGACCGGGAAUCGCCCCUUCGGGGGCUUUCCCCGAGCAUGAAACAGUCGACUCAGAACUGGUAUGGAGAAGGGGAAUCCGACUGUUUAAUUAAAACAAAGCAUUGCGAUGGUCCUCGCGGAUGCUGACGCAAUGUAACUUCUUCCCAGUGCUCUGAAUGUCAAAGUGAAGAAAUUCAACCAAGCGCGGGUAAACGGUGGGAGUAACUAUGACUAUCUUAAGGUAGCCAAAUGCCUCGUCAUCUAAUUAGUGACGCGCAUGAAUAGAUUAACGAGAUUCCCACUGUCCCUAGCUACUAUACAGUGAAACCACGGCCAAGGGAACGGGCUUGGCGGAAUCAGCGGGGAAAGAAGACCUUGUUGAGCUUGACUCUAGUCCGACUUUGUGAAAUGACUUGGUGGUGUAGGAUAAGUGGGAGCCCUCACGGGCGCAAGUGCAAUACCACUACUUUUAACGUUAUUUUACUUAUUCCGUGGGUCGGAAGCGGGGCAUGUCCCCUCCUUUUGGCUCCAAGGCCCGGUCUUACCCGGCCGAUCCGGGCGGAAGACAUUGUCAUGUGGGGAUUUUGGCUGGGGCGGCACAUCUGUUAAAAGAUAACGCAGGUGUCCUAAGAUGAGCUCGACGAGAACAGAAAUCUCGUGUGGAACAAAAGGGUAAAAGCGUGGCCUAUCGAUCCUUUAGAUCUUCGGAGUUUGAAGCUAGAGGUGUCAGGAAAGUUACCAUAGGGAUAACUGGCUUGUGGCAGCCAAGCAUUCAUAGCGACGUUACUUUUUGAUCCUUCGAUGUCGGCUCUUCCUAUCAUUGCGAAGCAGAAUUCACCAUGUGUUGGAUUGUUCACCCACCAAUAAGGAACGUGAGCUGGGUUUGGACCGUCGUGAGACAGGUUAGCUUUACCCUACUGAUGACAGUGUCGCGAUAGUAAUUCAACCUAGUACAAGUGGAACCGUUGAUUCACACAAUUGGUCAUCGCGCUUGGUUAAAAAGCCAGUGGCGCGAAGCUACCAUGUGCCGGAUUAUGACUGAACGCCACUAAGUCAGAAUCCAAGCUAGCAUGCGACGCCUGCGCCCGCCGCCCGCCCCGACCCACGUUAGGGGCACUUGCGCCCCCAAGGACCCAUGCCAUUGGCUAAGCCGGUCCGGCCGACGUGCCGCGGCCGGCCGCCUCGAAGCUCCCUUCCCAAAGGGCGGUGGGAUGAAUCCUUUGCAGACGACUUAAAUAUGCGAAGGGGCAUUGUAAGUGGCAGAGUGGCCUUGCUGCCACGAUC